AUACCUUCACUGACUCCAGCUCUGCUUAUUUAAGAAUGGAAGGGCUGGCAGGCAGUGGCCGUAAACACCAGUCCUCCUGGUAGCUAAUGAAGUCUGUGGCAUGUUUAUGCUGCUCCAAGGAACCUUUGAGAUGGUU